rnacentral:lncRNA from 1 species
UAGCUGCCAUCAACUGAACAGAUUAGAAGUCUUGAACAAUAAAAUUAAAGAAAUACACAAAAUAAUGAGGUCAAACAGAUGAAGGCUUCAAAUCAAACUGGAGAAAACUAUUCCUACCUUUGUGGAAUUUUGAGAAAUUGCAAAAAUUAUCCAGGUAACUAUUAAAAAAGAUGCCAAGAUCAGCAGUGCUUUUUGAAGCUUCGUAUUUGAGAACAUGAUGAGUGCCCUACAAAAGAAAACAAGCAAAGAAAUAAUGUGAGAAGUGAGUCCCUCUGUACUUAUUGUUUCAUUCUGAACCUGUAAUAUGUCUCUGAGACUUUUUUCCUCCUGAAUUACUCUACACAAAAGGAAAGAAGGGAUUCAGCAGUGUUACUGCACGAGAAAGGGGAAAGAGAGGAAAAGAUGGUGAGAGAGAGAGAGAGACUGGGAGAAGCAGAGUCCUGAAGAAAGGCUUAUUUGGGGUACAUCAGUCCAAAGUCAUGGCUAGAGGCAGAGGAUGGUAGAGCUUCCAAGAUUCCUGGCUUCCUAGAUGAUCUCAAGAGGCCAAAACUAACUGGACUUAUGUGUAAGAGAAAUGCACACCGAUCUUGUUCUUCGUUUGAAUCAUCACACUUGGAGUAUUUCUCCCUCUCACAGUCAUUUUUCCUGUUUAUAACCACAUAGACUCGACCAGAGGCCGAAGACGGGAUCUGACAAGAUGGCCGGGCUGCCCCACAGGAUCAUCAAGGAAACUCAGCGUUUGCUGGCAGAACCAGUUCCUGGCAUUAAAGCGGAACCAGAUGAGAGCAACG